GUGGCAGUGGGUGAAGUGGAAAUACCCCCGGGUUGUGAUUCCGGAAGAUGCGGGUUCGAUCCCCGUCUGUCACCCCA
rnacentral:tRNA from 5 species